AUUGAACGCUGGCGGCAGGCUUAACACAUGCAAGUCGAGCGAGCGGCGGACGGGUGAGUAAUGUCUGGGAAACUGCCUGAUGGAGGGGGAUAACUACUGGAAGCGGUAGCUAAUACCGCAUACCAUCAGAAGUGCCCAGAUGGGAUUAGCUAGUAGGUGGGGUAAUGGAUCACCUAGGCGACGAUCCCUAGCUGGUCGGAGAGGAUGACCAGCCACACUGGAACGGCGACACGGCCCAGACUCCUACGGGAGGCAGCAGAGGGGAAAAUUGCACAAGGGGCGCAAGCCGGAUCCAGCCCUGCCGCGUGUGGGAAGAAGGGCUUCGGGUUGUAAAGCACUUUCAGCGAGGAGUCGUUACUCGCAGAAGAAGCACCGGCUAACUCCGUGCCAGCAGCCGCGGUAAUAC
rnacentral:rRNA from 1 species